rnacentral:rRNA from 1 species
UACGAAGGGGGCUAGCGUUGCUCGGAAUGACUGGGCGUAAAGGGCGCGUAGGCGGCUGUGACAGUCAGGCGUGAAAUUCCUGGGCUCAACCUGGGGGCUGCGCUUGAUACGUUACGGCUUGAGUGGGGAAGAGGGUCGUGGAAUUCCCGGUGUAGCGGUGAAAUGCGUAGAUAUCAGGAGGAACACCUGUGGUGUAGACGGCUUUCUGGACCGUAGCUGACGCUGAGACACGAAAGCGUGGGUAGCAAACAGG